AUCCAUCAACUGUCCCUUGUGCUAAGGUGCAUCUAGUGCAGUUAGUGAUGUAGCUUAGUAUCUACUGCCCUAAAUGCUCCUUCUGGCACAAGCCGCCUCCUAGACAACCUGGCAAGC
ensembl:miRNA